UACGUAGGGGGCAAGCGUUGUCCGGAAUCAUUGGGCGUAAAGCGCGUGUAGGCGGCCCGAUAAGUCCGCUGUGAAAGUCCAGGGCUCAACCCUGGGAUGCCGGUGGAUACUGUCGGGCUCGAGUCCGGAAGAGGAGUGUGGAAUUCCUGGUGUAGCGGUGAAAUGCACAGAUAUCAGGAGGAACACCAAUGGCGAAGGCAGCACUCUGGGACGUGACUGACGCUGAGACGCGAAAGCGUGGGGAGCGAACAGG
rnacentral:rRNA from 1 species